rnacentral:rRNA from 1 species
UACGUAGGGCGCAAGCGUUAUCCGGAAUUAUUGGGCGUGAAAGAGCUCGUAGGCGGUUUGUCGCGUCUGCCGUGAAAGUCCGGGGCUCAACUCCGGAUCUGCGGUGGGUACGGGCAGACUAGAGUGAUGUAGGGGAGACUGGAAUUCCUGGUGUAGCGGUGAAAUGCGCAGAUAUCAGGAGGAACACCGAUGGCGAAGGCAGGUCUCUGGGCAUUAACUGACGCUGAGGCACGAAAGCGUGGGGAGCAAACAGG